rnacentral:rRNA from 1 species
AUUCCAGCUCCAAUAGCGUAUAUUAAAGUUGUUGCAGUUAAAAAGCUCGUAGUUGGAUACCUGGUGGGAGUGACCGGUCUAGUGUCGUCUCUUGCCAUCCUUGAGGAGAGCGUCUCUGGCAUUAAGUUGUCGGAGUCGGGACCCUCAUCCUUUACUGUGAAAAAAUUAGAGUGUUUAAAGCAGGCUUAGGCCGUUGAAUACAUUAGCAUGGAAUAAUAAGAUAGGACUUUGGUGGUCUAUUUUGUUGGUUUGCACACCAAGGUAAUGAUUAAUAGGGACAGUUGGGGGUAUCCGUAUUUCGUAGUCAGAGGUGAAAUUCUUGGAUUUACGAAAGACGAACUACUGCGAAAGCAUUUACCAAGGAUGUUUUCAUUG